rnacentral:rRNA from 1 species
GAGUUUGAUCGUGGCUCAGAGCGAACGCUGGCGGCAGGCCUAAUACAUGCAAGUCGAACGGAUCCUUCGGGAUUAGUGGCGGACGGGUGAGUAACACGUGGGAACGUGCCUUUUGGUUCGGAACAACUCAGGGAAACUUGAGCUAAUACCGAAUGUGCCCUUCGGGGGAAAGAUUUAUCGCCAUUAGAGCGGCCCGCGUCUGAUUAGCUAGUUGGUGGGUAAAGGCCCACCAAGGCUACGAUCAGUAGCUGGCCUGAGAGGAUGAUCAGCCACACUGGGACUGAGACACGGCCCAGACUCCUACGGGAGGCAGCAGUAGGGAAUCCUGCGCAAUGGGCGAAAGCCUGACGCAGCCAUGCCGCGUGAAUGAUGAAGGUCUUAGAUUGUAAAUUCUUUCAGCGGGACGAUAAUGACGGUACCCGCAGAAGAAGCCCGGCUAACUUCGUGCCAGCCGCCGCGGU